rnacentral:rRNA from 1 species
AUUGAACGCUGGCGGCAGGCCUAACACAUGCAAGUCGAGCGGAUGAAGGGAGCUUGCUCCUGGAUUCAGCGGCGGACGGGUGAGUAAUGCCUAGGAAUCUGCCUGGUAGUGGGGGAUAACGUCCGGAAACGGGCGCUAAUACCGCAUACGUCCUGAGGGAGAAAGUGGGGGAUCUUCGGACCUCACGCUAUCAGAUGAGCCUAGGUCGGAUUAGCUAGUUGGUGGGGUAAAGGCCUACCAAGGCGACGAUCCGUAACUGGUCUGAGAGGAUGAUCAGUCACACUGGAACUGAGACACGGUCCAGACUCCUACGGGAGGCAGCAGUGGGGAAUAUUGGACAAAGGGCGAAAGCCUGAUCCAGCCAUGCCGCGUGUGUGAAGAAGGUCAUCGGAUUGUAAAGCACUUUAAGUUGGGAGGAAGGGCAGUAAGUUAAUACCUUGCUGUUUUGACGUUACCAACAGAAUAAGCACCGGCUAACUUCGUG